rnacentral:rRNA from 1 species
GGGUUGUGAGGUUAAGCGACUAAGCGUACACGGUGGAUGCCCUGGCAGUCAGAGGCGAUGAAGGACGUGCUAAUCUGCGAUAAGCGUCGGUAAGGUGAUAUGAACCGUUAUAACCGGCGAUUUCCGAAUGGGGAAACCCAGUGUGUUUCGACACACUAUCAUUAACUGAAUCCAUAGGUUAAUGAGGCGAACCGGGGGAACUGAAACAUCUAAGUACCCCGAGGAAAAGAAAUCAACCGAGAUUCCCCCAGUAGCGGCGAGCGAACGGGGAGCAGCCCAGAGCCUGAAUCAGUGUGUGUGUUAGUGGAAGCGUCUGGAAAGGCGCGCGAUACAGGGUGACAGCCCCGUACACAAAAAUGCACAUGCUGUGAGCUCGAUGAGUAGGGCGGGACACGUGGUAUCCUGUCUGAAUAUGGGGGGACCAUCCUCCAAGGCUAAAUACUCCUGACUGACCGAUAGUGAACCA